CAGUCGCCGCGGUAAUACGUGGGUGGCAAGCGUUGUCCGGAAUUAUUGGGCGUAAAGGGCUCGCAGGCGGUUUCUUAAGUCUGAUGUGAAAGCCCCCGGCUCAACCGGGGAGGGUCAUUGGAAACUGGGAAACUUGAGUGCAGAAGAGGAGAGUGGAAUUCCACGUGUAGCGGUGAAAUGCGUAGAGAUGUGGAGGAGCACCAGUGGCGAAGGCGACUCUCUGGUCUGUAACUGACGCUGAGGGGCGAAAGCGUGGGGAGCGAACAGGAUUAGAUACCCGGGUAGUCCCUGUCUCUUAUAC
rnacentral:rRNA from 1 species